rnacentral:rRNA from 1 species
AAGUAUACAAAGAGACUUUUAUGGAGUAAUAGCUAUAUGUUAAAGAGAGCAUACUUGCUAAAAUUUUUAAACUCUAUUAAUAAAUUAAUUUUUGUAAACGAAGUGAACUGAAAUAUCUUAGUAACUUCAGGAAAAAAAAUCAAAAGAGAAUUUUAAAGUAGUGUGAACGAAAAAAAAUUUUGUCUUAAAGUAAAAUGGAACAUAAGUCUGUUUGAACACUAGGGGAACCUUCCUCUAAGGCUAAAUAUAACAUAUAAGCGAUAGAAAAAAAGUACUGUGAGGGAAAUUAUUGAAAUAGAAGUUUUAUAAGCAGCUCAAGGUGUUAUUUUAUAACGAGAGCGUACCUUUUGCAUAAUGGGUCAGCAAGUUAAUAUUUGAUGCGAGCAUUUAUGCGCAGGUAAAUCAAUUAAGAUAUAGUAAUAUAGUUUCGAAUAUUAGACCCGAAAGCUAGUGAUCUUACCAUGACCAGGAUUAUAAGAGUCCGAACGGGUUAUUGUUGCACAAAUAUCCGAGGAGUCGUGGUAAGUUAGUGAAAGACAAAACUGACUAGCAUAGCUGGUUUUCUGCGAAACCUAUCUAAGUAGGUAAUUCAAAUUUAAUAUUGGAAGGUACAGAAUUGUGAUCUCAUACAACUAUAUUCUAAUCUAGAUAUUUUUGUUUAUAUUGGGGAGUCGUAGAGAUUUUAUCAGUGAGUUUUUGUUCUCGGAAGAGCCAUAUAUAUAUUUUGAAUAAUCGGACAUAGUACGCCAAGGUUGUAUGUCAAAAGGGAAACAGCCCAGAACAAGAGUUAAUAAGGUUCCAAAACUAUUUUUAAGUGAUGUUAAUAAAGUAUUUAUUUUAGACGGUCAGGUAAUAGGCUUAGAAGCGGCCAAUUUUUGAUGAUCUCGUAACAGAGCACUGAUUUAAAAUUACGAAGCAUUAAUUAAGGAAGAGUAUAAUUCUAGUUAAUGUAAAAGUAAUAGGUAAAGCAUUCAAGAUUUAGUGGAUCUAAACAAUAUACCGAAACCUUGUCUACACAUGCAAAUCUAAAUUAUGAUCAAGAAAAGAACAAACCUGAUACACAUACAUUGAGCAUGUGUGGGGUAGCAGAACUUUGAGUAUAUUUGCCUAAAUUAUAUAAGGCAUAUAUGUUUUUACUAUAAAAAACAUUGAGUAAUAUCUCAAGUGAUAAUGCUGACAUGAGUAACGAUAAAGAGAAAGGGUGUGUAAUACAUCUCAAAUCUCUUCGCCUAAAGCUUAUGGUAUUUUUUUAAAGUCACGGCCUCUAAGUUACCGUACCUAAAUACUAUCAAUAGUAAGCAAGUAGAAUAUACGAAGGCGUUCGAGUGAUUAAUCAUUAAGGAACUCGGCAAAUUGACUCCGUAACUUAGGGAUAAGGUGUGCCAUUCCUGUUUAUUAAUAUGAAGUUAGGAAGAGGACGCAUGGAAUAGUGUUGUACGACUGUUUAAUUAAAACAAAGCACUUUGCAAAGAAGUUAAUUCAAAGUAUUGAGUGUGAUAUCUGCCCAAUGGCGCAUGGUUAUCGAAUUUUCUUAGUUUUUAAACUAGGUUUUGAAGGAAUCCUCGUUCAAUGGCGGCCUUAUCUAUAAGGGUCCUAAGGUAGCGGAAUACCUUGGCCGUUAAAUGCGGUCUUUGCAUGAAUGAUUUAACGAUACAACAGCUGUCUCUAUGAUUAGCUCGGUGAAAUUAUAAUAACUGUGCAGAUACAGUUUACCUCUAGUUAGACGAGAAGACCCUAUGCAGCUUUACUAUUACUAGUUAUUGAGUAUAAUACAAAAAAUUGUAGUGUAUAAGGUAAUCGUAUGAUAAAUUUGAAACACCUUUAUUUUCUUUGUUAUACAAUAUUUAUUGUAAUGAAAGUUUACAAUAACCGAUAUAAUAAUUGUGAUAUGCGAUUAAAAGGAACAAUUGCUAGGUGGUAGUUUAUGCGGGGCACAGAUCCCAUAAAAAGUAUCUGGGAAUAUCCAAAUUAAAUGAUAAUUAGAUUACUUACUAAGUUUAACGGCUUAAUCUUGCUUUACUGUUUGACUUACAAGUCUUUCAGUCGCGUAAGCGGGGCAUAUGAUCACAAGACACAUUAAGGAAGGGUCUUGUAUUAAUGAAAAAGUUACGCUAGGGAUAACAGGCUAAUUGCGCAAGAGAGUACAAAUUGAGUGCGCAGUUUGGCACCUCGAUGUCGGCUUAGCUCAUCCACAUGAAUGCAGAAGUCAUGAAGGGUUGGACUGUUCGUCCAUUAAAGAGCUACAUGAGCUGGGUUAAAUACGUCGUGAGACAGUAUGGUUUCUAUCUUCUAGAGGAAAUUAGAAUAAAAUAAGAAUAGCCCCUUGUACGAAAGGAGUUGGGUACACUAACCUAUGGUUUACCUGUUGUUUAUCUGCUUAUAUUAA